AAAGUCGUAACAAGGUUUCCGUAGGUGAACCUGCGGAAGGAUCAUUACAAGCACAAACACACACGGGGAGCGCCGCAACGCGGGGAGACACGAACGCCAGCGCUUGCAAAACAACUUUCAACAACGGAUCUCUAGGCUCCC
rnacentral:misc_RNA from 1 species